rnacentral:lncRNA from 1 species
GAGCAUGAGUACCGGUACGGCAUCGAGUGGGUACCGGUACGCCGUAGACUAAAUGCUUGGCCGAGGCUCGGGUUGAGCAGAUUUUGGUGCAGGGUACCGAUACUCUUUCCCGAGUACCGGUACGCAGUAUGGAAAACUGCAGCUCGUGCAGUUUGUAAAUUUUGUGAGUUGAGGGGCUUGAGUGGAUAUUGUCAUAUUGUAUUUAAAUACCCCUUCACCCUAUUUGUUCCUCAGCUAGCUGAGGCUUGAGAGAGAGAGAAUGGAGGUGGGUUUUACUCUUCU